AGCCGCCGCGGGAAUACGAAGGGUGCAAGCGUUACUCGGAAUUACUGGGCGUAAAGCGUGCGUAGGUGGUGGUUUAAGUCCGUUGUGAAAGCCCUGGGCUCAACCUGGGAAUUGCAGUGGAUACUGGGUCACUAGAGUGUGGUAGAGGAUAGUGGAAUUUCCGGUGUAGCAGUGAAAUGCGUAGAGAUCGGAAGGAACAUCUGUGGCGAAGGCGACUAUCUGGGCCAACACUGACACUGAGGCACGAAAGCGUGGGGAGCAAACAGGAUUAGAUACCCCAGUAGUCCCUGUCUCUUAUACA
rnacentral:rRNA from 1 species